AGUGAACGCUGGCGGUAGGCCUAACACAUGCAAGUCGAACGGCAGCACAGUAAGAGCUUGCUCUUACGGGUGGCGAGUGGCGGACGGGUGAGGAAUACAUCGGAAUCUACUUUUUCGUGGGGGAUAACGUAGGGAAACUUACGCUAAUACCGCAUACGACCUACGGGUGAAAGCAGUGGAUCUUCGGACCUUGCGCGAUUGAAUGAGCCGAUGUCGGAUUAGCUAGUUGGCGGGGUAAAGGCCCACCAAGGCGACGAUCCGUAGCUGGUCUGAGAGGAUGAUCAGCCACACUGGAACUGAGACACGCUCCAGACUCCUACGGGAGGCAGCAGUGGGGAAUAUUGGACAAUGGGCGCAAGCCUGAUCCAGCCAGACCGCGUGGGUGAAGAAGGCCUUCGGGUUGUAAAGCCCUUUUGUUGGGAAAGAAAAGCAGCAGGUUAAUACCCCGCUGUUCUGACGGUACCCAAAGAAUAAGCACCGGCUAACUUCGUG
rnacentral:rRNA from 1 species